rnacentral:misc_RNA from 1 species
AAGAAAUGCAAGGGUGCUCUUUUUAGAGGCCCGACCCAUUCUUUUAUCACACUGUGCACUAUACUAUUUUACACCAUUUUUAACACAUAAGUCUAAGAAUGUACAAAGUCUCUUAAGUGAGCAUAAAAUAAUA